rnacentral:sRNA from 1 species
ACAUAGCCCCGAUGGAAGCGACAUCCUUUUUUUGGUGGCUGAGCGGAGCCGAAGCUACCAAAAAAAGAUAUAGCGGACAGCGGGCGAGGAU